rnacentral:lncRNA from 1 species
UUUACUACUAACCAUUGAGGUUUUCCCUCUUGGGGAUUUACUGUUGCCUCUUUUAGCCAUGAACACCAACUGCAUAGGAAAGACCAGAAUCCCGAACAUUACGUCAUGAUUAUAUCUCUAAGAAGAGUCACAUGUCGUAGGGUUUACAAGGUUGCACCACGUGCAAACCUUUUAUUAAGAUACAGAUAUAGACGGAUCCAGUAGAUUUGUGCGGCCUCUUUGCCUGGAACAACAUCUUCCUCAUGGCGACUCGUCGGUGACAGUCUCUUUCUUGUAGCCGCCGCCUCCGCCGAACCCUCCCCCACCGCCGAAGCCGCCGCCAGCUCCUCCUCCGUAUCCACCCCCGAUCCCCGCUCCUCCGCCGUACCCACCCCCAGCACCUCCUCCGAAGCCGCCACCUCCGCCUCCUCCGAAGCCGCCACCGGCACCUCCUCCGUAUCCGCCGCCAACGCCACCUCCGUAGCCACCGCCUACGCCGCCGCCGUACCCGCCACCUACGCCGCCGCCGUACCCACCGCCGGCGCCGCCUCCAAAGCCACCACCGGCGCCGCCUCCAAAGCCGCCUCCAUACCCCCCACCGGCUCCGCCUCCGUAGCCUCCGCCGAGACCGGGGAGCCCUCCAUAGCCGCCACCAAUGCCAGGCCCGACGCCGUAACCCCUACCGUACUUAGGACGGCCGCCAUGUUUGUACCACCAUUUCUGGUCCUUCAAGGUCUCGUCUUCCAGGAGCCGCCUUGCACCGGAGGUGCAGAAGAGGGCCACGAGGAGGAGAAGGAAGAGG